rnacentral:lncRNA from 1 species
GAUGCCCACUGGAUCCAAAGAGAGAAACUCUAUGGAAUUAUGAUCUAGGUUUGACUGACUCCUGGCAACAAGCUCUACCUACCAGCCAAUUUGGAUGAGCUCUUAUGCUCCAGAUCCAUCAUGAGAAGGACAUGCCUUGGAUUCCUGCUAUCCCUUUAGCCUUGGCUCCAAAAUUAACACACACGAGGAAGACCUGAGCUCAAUC